GCUCGGCCGGGGACAGCCCUGCCCGCCCCUCCGCCCACCCCACGGAGGGGAAUGGCCCCGCCGUCCGCUUCUCCCGGGGACCACCGUCCUGCCCUCCGCACGGCAGCAGACUCCUGGCCGCCCUGCCCCGGCCGUGCCCGCACCUUGGAGCGGACGACGGACGGACGGACGGAUGGCCGGCAUCCCCGACGGAGGGAUGUUUCUGUCUUUGGUUAUCUAGCUGUAUGAGUGUUGUGGAGCCAUCAUAAAGCUAGAUAACCGAAAGUAGAAAUGACUUCCAGACCUGCUCGCCCAGGGGAAGCGGCCGCACCAGGACCGGCAGUGCAGAGACGGCCCGACUCGCCGCCCUGGGGGCUCCAGGGCCAGCAAAGCACCGCCAUAACCACAGUAAGGAAAAAGGAUCUCAGCCUGAAUUUGGCUAUACCGGGAGAAAGAAAAGUUCUGAGGAGCUGUUAUUAUAUAUUCUAAUGAGAAGUCAUUGGAGAAAUUAAAAAGGGCAGAGAAAGACGAAGACGCCAGCACUAAUUCCGCAGGAAGCCUCCCAGGGAAAAGGCUGUGUGAGUGUGAACGCUGAAAAGCAUGAAGGCCUGGAAUUAGACUAUCAUUUAGAAAGCGUUACUAAUCCGAAGUUACAGCAGUAAUUCCAUGAUUUGCUGGGUCCCACACGCAGCGCCAGAAUUAAAGAUACGGAUUUUCUAGAAAUGUAACUCAACUGUGGCACCGAGUCUCGGCAAGAUCCGAAUGAAUCAUUCAUUCCAAAGGCAGCGAAAGACGUGUCAUUAAGAACCAACCUCCUUCUCUCCAGCCCAUCUGGAAUAUGUAUACUCGAUGCAAUCCCAGAAAUUGUGGAAGAGAUCGGAGGUGGGGAGGAAGGAAUGUAGUCCUUUCCCUCCUUUAUUAUGUUGGCUAUUUUUAAGAAAUAAUUUUCCAAUUAUUUUCACAAUAUUGUGAGUGGCGCUCAAUUCUUCUCCUAUUUAUUUUUUCCCCCCUUUCGUGCGCUAGCAUCGAGUCAGGUGCAAACGUUUUCAGUGGAGAUGCUUUAAAACUAGACUGAACAAAGCAGGAGGGAACUGAGCAAGGUGGUUGAUGAAUGCAUUUAUUCCGGAGUAAUGAUUUGAUGGGGGAUGGAGGAAAGAAACAUUCAAAUUCCUAAUGAAUGUAAUUCAGGAGGAAUCAUUCAACCAGCAUGUUAGAGAAAAUCUGUUUGGUGGGAGUGUUCUGCACUGGCAGAACCCAGGAGGUAUUUCUGUCCCUGGCUUUUGUAAUUGCAAAAGGUGAAAAUAUAAAAAGAGGAUCUGAGGGAAAAAAAAAUAUACACACAUAUAAUAAAUGUCUUUGUGUGUGUAUAUAUAAAUACAUAUAUAUAUAUAAUUUUAUGAAAUAAAAUGGAAGUGUGGAAAUCCGUGUCUACAUGAGAACUCUUACAAAGGAUUGAUGCAAGCUUUUUCACCUUGCUAUUCAAUCAGCUGGUCAGAAACCACUCUUGACUUUUACAAUUUUUUUUUUUUUUUUCCUCCACAAAAUCACCUCUCCUGAGCUGAUUUUUCAGGUAUUUUUUCAGGCCAUGUACUUGGUACAUUACCCCAGAGCAGUUCCCCCGAAGGGGACUGAGACAGGGACUGAGUGAUUUGCCCUUUAAUGUCCAGGAGAGAGAAAUUGCGGUUGAAUUUUUUCUGGUGCUUUAAGGCUUUGUUUUUGCCCCCAUUGUUGGCAUGAACCUAUGGGUAUCUCGAGGAGGUGUGAAGGCAGCACCCCCUCAAUUAACAAGGGAGGUGGCAGUGAGUGAUGGGGGACAGCGGUAUGAGAAUCCCCAGCUCAUGAAUGCGUGGGUGGGGGGUGAGGCUGUGGAUGAAGCCCCCCAGCAAAUCUCUGCUUGUGACAUACCUGCUGCAUUUAGAGAGUCCCUGGCAGCCACCCACAGGUCUCUGCUUUCUGUCUUUUUUUUUUUUUUUAAGUGCCAUAUUGGAAUGGAGGUCCCCAAGGGUCUGUCCUUGGGCCAGGGGUGGAUUUUGGCUGGACACUGUUCCCUUUGUGGCUUUGUUUUUUUGCCCUGUUAGGGUAGCUGUUGGUUUGGAUGGAUCUUUGCCCCUGUGUAGGCAAAACCCAGAAGGGAAGGCGUCUUUUUCAGGCGUGCUGAGAUGGGAGUCCAAGUCCCGGCAUUCCUGGUUCUUUCUCUUCUCAGUGGGACUCUCCUGGUGGAGAUAGGAUGCAGCGUAGGCCGAAUGUGGGUGAGGUUCCUGGAGCUGGGUUGUGAUGUCUUUGUUCUUCAGGCAGAGCUGGGGAUGGGCAGAGGGAGACAGAAACAGAAGAAUCGGCAUGUGCCAUUGGGGGAUAAAUGGAAAAUACAGUUAGUGGGUUUUACCCCAGGGAAAUGAUGCUCUGGGAGAUCGCAUGCUCCAGCUCACGAUUUCCCACCUUUUCCUAAUACUUGUCCGCCAUGCAGAGGGUUUGGCUUGGUGCAUGAGAUGAAGGGGGUUUAUACCAAAUACCGGGGGAAGCCAAACUCACCAAGGCUCAGGGUGAGGUGGAGAAGGGGCUGUUCAGGCCCUGCUGUUUGAAGGAGCUCCCCUGGGAGCCAGGCUGUGUGAGCAUGCACGCUUGGUUAUGGAUGAAAUCCCAUCAAUGGGCAUUUUUAUGGAACUGGCUGGCAAUGGCGAGUUCCACUCUUGAGGCUGGGCUCAGACAUUUCUUUUGUCUCUCUUGGCUCCCAUGCCCUCCCUACACCCUUGAUGCAAACAGAAGGUGCCUCCCUUUACCUGCUGCUGUGCCCUGCCUUUGUCUGUACCGCUGGAGGAAGGGCAGAGCCCAGGAGCUUGGCGGGUCCAUCCAACCUGUGGCCAUGGAUGGGCGCUGCUCGUACCCCAGGGAGGGAUCACGGCCGCCUGCUGGAAACGCUCUCGUGUCUGGGUGGAGGGAAGGUGCUGAUCUGGCAUCUGCCAGCGCUGAGGUGCCUGGCACGUGGCGGUGCACACACACAGCGUUCAUGGUGUGGGUACCGCGUGUCGCCCUGCCACACCGCAGCCCCUCAGUCACCCUCAGCUUCUGGAUGUCCCCAGGGGCCACCAGUAUAAGAUGGACAUUUGGCUGCCCACGCUGGCUUCCCCAGCACAUGGUGCAGGGUGUCACCCUGUCCAGGUCAGGGAUUUUGGUGUUUUGUGCCCAAAACCCUGGUUACCUUGGAAAGGUGUUUGCCAGGACCCAAACUGGAAAAAACAUCAUCUUGGGAUUCUCACCAUCCCUCUGUCCCUCUGAGUGCACAUGUUUGUGACCAGAGCUUGCAUGCGAGGCUGGGCCAUCACACUGCCCACAGCCGGGAUCCCGCAAGGAGUCAGGACGAGGUUCUGGCUUUCGUGUUUUCUAAUACUUAUUCAGGGGCUCAGGUUUGGUUAGGAGCGUUUGCCUCGAAAGCUGAGGAGUGGGGGUAAAAAAAAGAAAAUGGGGGGAGCAAAAGAACACAAUCUCCGGCAGUUAGCUGUCUCUUGGAAACUCAGCUUGCUGUUCCUAUAGAGGCUUUCUCUUUUCCUUCACCCUGGUCUGGCCUUAAGUACCACUUUAAGCGGGCUUUGCUCAUUCACAUCCAGGCUCCUUAGAGCAAUUGAGCCCGCGGGGGUUUGAAAAGAAGGGACAGUCCUUCAAUGGCAGGACCUUGGGCCAGGCUAAUUGGUUUUGGUUCAAGGGGAUACUGGAUUUGUGAAAAGCCCAAAGACAUCUUUCCCACGCCAAAUCCCGGCUCUUCAGAGGGGGAAGUGAGGGGUGCUAGGUGGAGAAGGGAGCUGAAAGAAAGAUGGUUUAGUUGAGGAACCUUGUAAGGAGCAGGACGCCCCGCAGCCUCGGCAGGGAUGGGUGCAGCCGGGGGCAGCGCCAGGGCGGCACAGCAGCAGGGCACAGUGCCCUUCCUCCUCGGACAGCAGUGGCUGGCUCCCGGUGGCAUGCUGGCAACAGUGGCCUGGUUUCAUUAAAACCAGGCUUUUUCAGUGCAUGCCAGACUCCCAUGGAGAUGCCACAAAUGCAGGAAGGAUGGGACAUGAGUCCAGAAAUCAAAUCGUGUCUGUGUGCUCACCUGUGCAGCCAUGGGGGGAAUUUUUUGAGGUCUCUUGUAUCUCAUUUUGAUUUAGGAAUUUAUUUAUUUUUAAACAUUGACUCUCUCUGGCACCAUUCCAGCAGUCCCACGACCUUUACUCUCCCCAAUCCAUAAAAAUCACUUAAUUAUUGGGCUGAAAAUCAAGGCUUGGAAACAAAGCCAGCUUAUGGGACCAUCAGUUCUUGAUAUAUUUCCUGAGAGGACAUAUUUCUGGGCACCUUCAGAGCAGAGCACGCAGCUUGUUGGAUAUGAGAUAUCAAGGCAUUAUUUAUUGAGGAAGUCUUCACACUCCCUCAUCUGUUAUAAUUAACUGAUGACAUUUUUUCUUAGGUUCAAAAUAUGGUGAAAAAGUAUAAUUAGCACGAAGCUGAGGCACUGCAUUAAAAUGUCUCCUAUAGUUAAUGUAGGGUAGUCGUGCUAUUUAUUAUAGGAGGAGCUGGCUCUGACCUCUGUGUUGCCUAACACUUUUUAUUGUAAAGAUUCUUGAACUUUUUUUUCUUUUUGAGAACCUCUGACACUCCCAUUGUUUGCUGUGGGCCCUUGAAAUUCGUCUGGGGGAAGCUCUUCGAGUCGAGAAAUGCCUAUUCUUUGUCCCUUAAAUUCCUUUCAGGUUUAGCUGAAUUAUGAAUUGUUCAGAAUCGCGAUUUCCCUUCGCUUGCAUCUUGAUGGGGGGGGAAAAAAAUGAAAAUUUAUUGUUUCCCUGGAAUAAUAAUAACAGAUGAGGACCAGGGUAAAACCAUGGACUCCCACCACUUUAUUGCAGAGCUCUGGACCAGCCAGGGAAGGUGGGAGGGUGUUCACAUCCAGCUCCAUCACCCCUUUCCACCUUUAGGUCAUAUCCUUCCAGCACAGACCCUUCUCCUGGGAGAAAACUCCUCCGUGUUCUGGUGCCAGGAGGAAAACAGAAAGGGUGUGUGGGUGCACUGGCCUGGGCACUGCCAGCCCCAGCAGUCCCCUUCUCUGCCAGCCCCGGGAGAGCUGCCUUCUGCCGCUGCCAGAUAACAUUAGUCCUGUAUUUCAUAGUGGCAGAAAUCUGUGCCGAGGCUUGGGGCUUGAAAUCUCUCUGCCCGCACAGGAUGAAGCAGGGAUGGGUGAGGGGUGGAGGAAAGGGAAUUUGUUACACUUGCCUACAAUUGUUUUUCUUUUUGCUUAUAUAAACAAUCUAUUAUUUAUUAGCUAUAAAUAAUGCAUUUUUCUGUAUGUUUAGAAUGCACGUGAUUUCUGUAUAUUAAAAAUGUACAUGGUUGAAGGCACCAAAGCGAGUGCUGGCAAGUCGGGGGGUACCUGAUUUCAUUUUGACCAUGAGGCGUUAAUUCAGCCGCUCCCUGCCCAUGCCCUUACGAGGCUGACGACACGGUCACAGCCUAUUUUUAGCUCAGUCCCUCUUUUCCUGUCCAGAGUGGCUGCACAGCGAGGUGGAAUUAAGGUUGCAUGGACAGCCAUAAAUUGGACACUUCCUAACUUUGAAGUGCUUGACCACGCAAUCUAAGCGAGGGCUCUUCAGGGCAGUAUUUCUGCAUGUGGUAUUAACUGCAUUGGCUGGGGAUGUCAAACACAGGGGUAGAGAAGCUGUAGAGCAGAAAAGACCUAUCAGACUAUUGAAAGUGUUUGUUUGAAUAGGUGGGGGAGUCAACAGAGCCUACACUUGAUUUGAGCUAAAUGGCCAAGAAGAUAUCUCCAAGCUGAGAGGGGGAAAGCCUUUGUUCCUUCAGUCCCUGCCUUGAUGUUUUCUUUGCCUUUGGUUUUCCCUCAUUCCCUCCUAAGGAGGUUUGGGCUCCUGCUCUUGAGGAACCUUUGGCUUGCGUAGUGAAUUUAUGUGCUGGUGGAAGCGAGGGUGUCCCUAGGAAUGUGCACACACACGCACGCUCCCGUCAUCGCACCAGCAGACGUGUGCUACCAGCUCGCAGGUACUUGCUGAUUGGCGUCCCUGCCUUGUCUUGCCUUGCCUUGCACACUCCCUCUUUCCCAUGUCACUGUCAGGAGCCAUUCCACAUGUUGGAGGGAAAGGAGAGGCCUUUGUGUUUUACACAGAAAGGAUAAUCUCUUUUUUAGCUGCUGGAAGAAUUACUCCAAAGGUGAUUUUACGCAAAGCAUAUUUGUCUUUGCUUGAAAUAGCACUUUUUUGUUUUCUUUUUUUCCUUUGUUUACUGGUGGGUAUCUCCAUUCUGGCUCUCAGUAGGAUGCUUGGCUGUCUGUUUUUGAGUGGAAUGGACACCUUGAGCAAAUCAGUCUGGAAAGUAAGCAGCCCUUUGUUUUACUUUCCGAGGUAUAAUGCAGUCACAGCCCCUUGCACAUACCUUGUGCCGAUACCAGAGCACUCUCCCCCAGCUGGCAGUGUAUUUGCCCUGGGUUAUAAUUAUUUGACCGAGCAAUUUUGUGCUUCCAGAAUUCCUGGAACCUGAUGCCUGCCUGAGGCUGUUUCUGGAUCGGCACAGACAUGACUGAGAGUUCGUGGAGUGGGAUGCCUUGGGAAGGGCUGGGACGUCUCCACCUGUGCAAGGAGAGAUCCCAGUGAGUGGACAAGGAACUUUUGAAGCCUGUGAGUUCCUUCCUGCAAUUGGCUACCACCUGCCUGGACUUGCCAUCUGACUUCUCCAAGUUUCUCCAGGAGGGUCCCAACCUGCUUCUCCAUUGGCCCCGGAGAGGAAACAGCUUUGUCUCAUGGACACAGUGGAUUUCUGCAUCACUUUGAAACACAGCGGUGCAGCCAUGGGGAGGGAGCCAGGGCAACACAGGGAGCCAAGGGAUCAUCCCACAUCACUCCUGUAUGUUGCCUUCAGUGCCCUCAAUACCCCAGGGCAGGACCAAAGUGCUUAGGCAGAGAGACCUGAGCCAGUCACUGCUUACCUGGUGAAAUACCAGUUGUGUGAAGUUUGGAGGGAGCUUUUAGCCCCCGGCUUUGCUCAUGGAGCAGAGCUCGGCCCUUGCUGCUCUUGAUCCCUGGGUUUGUGGAGCUGUGGGAGUUCAGCCUUCCCAAAGGCACUGUCCUUGGGGCCCAGAGGACCAUGAGCCUGUCCAGGCCAGGCAGCCCUGCUACUGUUGUACUGCACCCUCUCUUUUCCUGUAAGAGAAAUGUACUGCCUGUAAUUCUCCCCCAUUCAAAUCCCCCCCACCCCAUGCACUGUUGAAAAUAAACUCUCCCUUUUGCAAAA